rnacentral:lncRNA from 1 species
UGAGGAAUCGCUGAACCUGAGAGCGGAGACUCCGGCUACAGAGACCGCCGUCGCGGCAUCUACCACGCCCAAGACCGACAAGGAGUCGAAGCCUGAGGAGGAAUCCAAACCGCAGGUACGAUUCAGCAAUAGGUGCUCCACUUGCGGGAGAAAGGUGGGGCUGACCGGAUUCCGGUGUCGAUGCGGGGAUCUCUUUUGCGGUCGCCACCGGUAUUCCGACGUCCAUGAUUGCUCAUUCGAUUACAAGGCGUUGGGGAGGGAGGAGAUUGCUAAGGCUAAUCCUGUGGUCAAAGCUGCC